rnacentral:sRNA from 1 species
CCCGUCCGCCCCUCGGAAUCCAUCGAGUCUUGUGAGUGGCGGCGGCUACGCUGGCGGGGUGCGCCUCCUUCGCGGGCGGCCCCGGCCCGGGGUCUCCCCGCACGGACCGCAUAGCCGACAGCCGUCGCACUCCAGGGAGCAUCCCCAUG